UGUAGAAAAAACAUAAGACAAGUGUUCCAACAACUAAACCUCCAAACUUGCGACCAAGGCCACAAAGACAAAGUGUUCCAACAACUAAACCUCCAAACUUGCGACCAAGGCCACAAAGACAAAAUGCUCAACCUCAAGACAAACAAGCGAUUGCUGAUUUACAGACGGUGGGAGAUUUUCUCACCGACAAUGUUGAAGUUACCGAGGAUGAUCCAAUCAAUGCUACAAAAAAGAGGCCUGCAAGGGGCAUAACUAAGAUGGAGGGAAUAUUCUCAAGGUCACCUGAAAUGCCAAAAAUCAAAAUUUUACUCAAUGAUCGAG